CCUACCCAUAGAGGUGUUGCUGGUGUGGCUGCUGUGUCAUACAUGCACCAGCAGGUGGCAGAGAGGAGAAAGGCUACAUCUAUCUUCAUGUUGUGACCUGUGAACAUCUGAAUGAUGGCCUAAUGCU